CCUUUUUUAUGAAUAGGACCCUCGUGCUCCAGAGGCGGAUCCAAAGGCAGUCGCUUACCUAGGUACUUCGGUGUAGCAUAUAUAGCUGCAUACCUUUUUCACUGUGUCAAAGCCUCUUUACUUUUGAAGAUUCGCCGCCCUUGAAGUCUUGUUGCCGUCGAAGGCUCUCGCCGUCGAAGGUUCUCGCCGUCCAAGGCUCGUCACCGGUGAAGGCUCACCGCCGUCGAAGGCUCGCUGCUGUGGAAGGCUUUGCCGCACUCUGCCGUCGCCGAACUGUCGAAGGUUCUACCACCAUCGGUCGAAGAUUCUGAGAACAGUUCUCCUGUGUAAAUAUGGAACCCUAAGCUACAAAUGUUUUUCCUGUGUUGUUCAAACAUUUUUGAAAUGCAUUUUCAGAUUUAUGUCAUUAAGGUUUGGGGCUGUGCUGCUUGCCUUCUUCUUUUCUUCGUCCACUCUCACAAAGUUUGGAGAGGAUAAGAAGCGAACACUAAGGAAGGUGGUCAAAGAAACUGGUUAGGAAUGAUUGCUGCCCUAUUUGGAUGGAUUAUUCUGUGGAGUUACCCAUAUGAUAAGCCCCGUCUAAUCAUAACCUUCAAGGUCCUUAAUCUAGCCAAAUAACAUUAUCUGAUCCAUAUAUUAAUCCUCACCUACUGCCACAUUGUCUUGUUAUAAUUUAAUUGUUUGAGUUGCAUGGGAGUCAGUUUAAGUCCAAAAGUUUAAAGAAAUAUUUAUUCUUCCUUCAUAGCACUGAAAAGCUUUAAAGAAAUAUUUUAUAGGAAAAAGAAGUCUCAAGAUCAAUAUAUGGGAAAUUUUAAUGAUAUCUAACACUUCUCUUAAUUUCCAGGUGACUUUUAUGUAGCUUAAUUUCUAGUGAUCUGCUUGAUUUUUAUAAUGGACUGCCUUUAAAAUUUUAAGUGUAUGCUAAUACUGUUUGGGUUGUGAGAGCAUUGUAAGUGACAAUACUUUUGUAAAAGUUGUCGUGUGCAUGCAACAGAAACUCCUAUAAACAUAGAGGUAAUUGUUAACCAGUGUUGCUUUCGAGGAAUUAUCUGAAGGGAAUUGGUUUAUAUUUGGUUGUAGAUUAUAGUAAUUCCUUUUAUCCAAGUUCUAGUAAAAUAAUUCUGAAUAUGUACUUGGUGUGUUGAAUUUUGGUAGUUUUUCUUACUGUCACAUGUAAGUACUGCCUAUUAGGCGUGACUAUGUUCGUUGUUUCCUGUAUUUGAGCUUAACAUGUUGCUGUUGAAUUCAAUCUAUAUCAAUACCACUCAAAGGCAAUUUGAAUAGAGUCUAACAUCACUGUUGGACAAUCAUAGUUUUGGUUGCACCAAUCCACAUCAAUUGUUUUGUUCAAGUUUUGUCAGCGUAAUUAUCAAUUUACCUUUCCCCAAGAAAAAAA